GAUGAAGAACGUAGCGAAAUGCGAUAAGUAAUGUGAAUUGCAGAAUUCAGUGAAUCAUCGAAUCUUUGAACGCACAUUGCGCCCACCAGUAUUCUGGCGGGCAUGCCUGUUCGAGCGUCAUUUCAACCAUCAAGCCCCCGGCUUGUGUUGGGGACCUGCGGCUGCCGCAGGCCCUGAAAACCAGUGGCGGGCUCGCUAGUCACUCCGAGCGUAGUAAUACAUCUCGCUCAGGGCGUGCUGCGGGUUCCGGCCGUUAAAAAGCCUUAUUUACCCAAGGUUGACCUCGGAUCAGGUAGGAAGACCCGCUGAACUUAAGCAUAUCAAUAAGCGGAAGA
rnacentral:misc_RNA from 1 species